rnacentral:tRNA from 1 species
GCCUCUUUAGCUAAGUGGUAGAGCGUUGGUCUCGUAAACCAAAGGUCGAGAGGUCAAUCCUCUCAGGAGGCA